AGGCAUGAACCUCUGAGGCUGCCUUUACUACCUGCUAUCUGUGGCAUGGAAUCUGCAGAGAUGGCUAGAUCAUAAAUGAAGAAAACAAUUAGUAAGAAAAAGGAUUGAGUCAGGAAUGUAUUAGGGCAAAUAUGUAGUUUUAUAUACAUGACAAGUAUCAGCUGGUGAUUACCUGCAUCUUUCAAGUCAGCCACUUGCUGAAAUUCCAUAGUGGAUUGCACCAUUGCACCAACGUAGAGGAAAUUCCUUGUCUGCCUUUUCUUCAGCUAACAUCAUAUUUGUUUCGGAGCUCUUGUGAGGAGAAUGACUAAUGUCAAUUAAAGGAAAAUGCUGCAGUUACAAUUGAGAAGUCUUGAUCCAGGUAAGCGCUUCAAUUUCUCCAUAGUUGAACUCUUUAGAUGUCAUUUCAUGUUGUGCCAUUGGUGAGCUCCUUGGGGCAGGCAUUCUCAAGGAGUUUGUGUAAUUUGAUGCAGAAAGCAAGCACGAGAACAUUGGAGAAGAGGUUUUAUUCUAAAGUGUUACGUUCCUUCUGCUGCUGAUCAUCAUUAAUCAGUGUAGGGCAGCAUGAAAAGAAUAUAGGAAAAUGCUAAUAAUAGUGACUUGGUGACGUUAUUUAGGGUUCCUCCCUCCUCACAAAUACAAGUGUUUUCCUUGGAUGAUUUAAUUUUGAUAUACAAUGUUAACUGUCAUUGAAUGGAACAAUAAAAUAAUAAUUUUUUAAAAAAGUAUUGAUAAAGUCUAUAUGGAACCAUAGAAAUGUGGUGAGUUGCUGACAUUUGUAUAAGUAAUGCAUGUGUGAAGGAAAAUAAAUUUUAAAUGCAUUUUAAAUGUUUGCUUUUAAAACGCACUGAAAUUUUUGAAAUGGAAAAUCAGCCACAAUUAAACUUUACCACCUGUCUUGAGUUGUUGGGAGGAAACUGUAUGUAAGCCUCAAAGGAAACUAGUGUUUCUUCAAGUGUAAUUAAAAAUUUAGCCUUGAGUAUUCAUUUGUAUGUUGAUUGGUAUUGAUUCUGUAUUUAAAAAUGAAGAAAUUUUCCACUCUGGUACUGAAGACCCUUUAUUCCUUAGUCAGUGAACAAAGGUUGCUAGCAUUCAGUGUGUUGCCAAAUAUCCUUUAAAAGAUGUAUGGAAAAUUGCCCAGCAGUUCACUUCAAAUAAACUUUUCCCGAUUUGAGAUGCUCAGUGAUCAGAAAUCAGUACUGAUUUGGGGAUCUAAAGGAACAAUGUUUCUGUAGAGCUGUGCAUUUGCAUGAUCCAGCUCCCGUGAAACCCAUCUUCUUUCCCUUAAAAGGAGCUUAUAAAAGGUUUUAAAUUAUUAACCAUGUUACCAAUAUGUUAAAGGAUUGUGCAUUUGAAAUCAGGGAUGUUAGCCUAUAACUGAUGAAUAAGAGGGUUAUAAGAAACCUUUUAGCCUGUCGGACUUGAAACCAUUUAUCGCAGCAUCUGUAAUGUAUAGACCCCUUAUUGAACUAUUUAGAAAUGUACAAUUAAUAUAACGUGACUUUCUUGAUGUGUUCAUCGUAUGUCUGAUAACCUAUAUCGUGUAAGAAAACAGUUCCCCUGGGAGACAGGGAAAUUGUGGCUUUACUCUCUCAUAUUUAAUGUUUUCCUGGUUGUUGCUCAUUGGUUCCUGGCAGUUUAUUUUAGAUUUUACAAAUAAUAAAAGCAGCAGCAGUAGUAGUGUUUGGCUUUUGGAUUCAACAGACAUAUACAUUUUAAUCUAAAUGACAAUAUUUAGCAACAAAAUUGCUUCAUUUUAACUUCGCUGCAUUUCUUAAUCUGUGAGAACUAUAAUUUAAAAAUAAUGAAUGCAACAGGGUGAAUAUAUGCCUUCCAUUAAUUCUAAAUACUGCUUAUUUCCAGCACUUUUUAAUUAUUUGAAUAUACUUCUCAAUAUAUUUAACUGGAGUGGAAAAAUCAUUCAAAUCUCAGACCAUUUACGAUUACCAGCGAAUCUGUAACUUUACAUUCAAAUUACUGAACUUCAGAGUAAUAUUUCAUUCUGAGUAUCUAUUUUUCCUGUGUGUUAGAAAACACUGAAAUGGUCAAUAAAAAUGUUUUGGAAGAUGCAGGUUUCAUAAACCAUGUUACCAUAGAACACACAUUAUGAAAUUACAAGUCCUGUGUGGAAGAGCCUACCUGAAUCCCAAGACAUUAAGUAUUGUAACUGAGAAUCUGUGCUGAGUCUUGCAUCCUUCUACUGCAUUAAAAUGGCACUUUCUCUGAGUGGCAGCGGUCCACGGGCUGUGGGGAUUUCUUCAUCACCCACAACCAUUGGCUUUAGUGUCUUCCUUGUGCGGCAUAUAUGCAGGCACAGCAAGAACUAUAUGGCAAGGUACUCACAUUCUGUGAAUUGUUGUUACCUGCUUUGUGGAUCUGAAGUGAAAUUGUCUUCUCAUGGAAUGUUGUGGGGUUUUUCUUUUCAGAUUGCUAAGACUAAACACAGAGUUCCUUCCUUGUUUUCAACAUAGCCACUAACAAAGUUUUAUAUUAGCGUGGACUGGUGGCAGACAUCAAAUGCCUGUUUAAAUCAUAGGUCUUACAGAUGCUGGACACAGAAACAGCAUGUAGCAGAAAACGUAAUCUUUCUCACCUUUUCCUGGCAGUACCCCUAACCUACUAAUAAAUAGCU